AUUGAACGCUGGCGGCAUGCUUUACACAUGCAAGUCGAACGGUAACAGGCCGCAAGGUGCUGACGAGUGGCGAACGGGUGAGUAAUGCAUCGGAACGUGCCCAGUCGUGGGGAAUAACGCAGCGAAAGCUGCGCUAAUACCGCAUACGAUCUAUGGAUGAAAGCGGGGGACCGUAAGGCCUCGCGCGAUUGGAGCGGCCGAUGACGGAUUAGGUAGUUGGUGGGGUAAAGGCCCACCAAGCCAACGAUCUGUAGCUGGUCUGAGAGGACGACCAGCCACACUGGGACUGAGACACGGCCCAGACUCCUACGGGAGGCAGCAGUGGGGAAUUUUGGACAAUGGGCGCAAGCCUGAUCCAGCAAUGCCGCGUGCAGGAAGAAGGCCUUCGGGUUGUAAACUGCUUUUGUACGGAACGAAACGGCUCUCUCUAAUACAGGGGGCUAAUGACGGUACCGUAAGAAUAAGCACCGGCUAACUACGUGCCAGCCGCCGCAGUAAUAC
rnacentral:rRNA from 1 species